GACGAACGCUGGCGGCGUGCUUAACACAUGCAAGUCGAACGGAAAGGCCCUGCUUUUGUGGGGUGCUCGAGUGGCGAACGGGUGAGUAACACGUGAGUAACCUGCCCUUGACUUUGGGAUAACUUCAGGAAACUGGGGCUAAUACCGGAUAGGAGCUCCUGCUGCAUGGUGGGGGUUGGAAAGUUUCGGCGGUUGGGGAUGGACUCGCGGCUUAUCAGCUUGUUGGUGGGGUAGUGGCUUACCAAGGCUUUGACGGGUAGCCGGCCUGAGAGGGUGACCGGCCACAUUGGGACUGAGAUACGGCCCAGACUCCUACGGGAGGCAGCAGUGUGGAAUAGUGCACAAUGGGCGGAAGCCUGAUGCAGCAACGCCGCGUGCGGGAUGACGGCCUUCGGGUUGUAAACCGCUUUCGCCUGUGACGAAGCGUGAGUGACGGUAAUGGGUAAAGAAGCACCGGCUAACUACGUG
rnacentral:rRNA from 1 species